rnacentral:snRNA from 1 species
UGAUAGGAGAGCAGCCUGUCCAUGACAUCUGUCACCCUAGUGAUCACCUGGAUUGAUCUGACUGCUCUGGCUGGCUGGGCAGCACCUCCUCUCUCAUUGCUCCCCAUAUCCCUCCUGAAAGGGCUCGCUUGGUCAGUGAAGCAGGCCCUCCGCAGUGGAUGAGGGACAUUCUUCAGUUAAGGGUAGAGGAGAGAGGUUGCUCCCUGCUAGAACCCCAAACAGCUCUCAAGAAAGCCCCAUGAAGGAUGUUCUGAUUCUAAUUCAGAAAUGUCACACACACAC